ACCCCCCACUCCAUGCCGGCUCCCACCGGAGGCAAGGCCCCAGCACCCAAGGGUUGCCUCUGGUUGCCCCACCCCCACCGGGGCCCUCCUUGGCUAGACAGUGGAGGUGGGGAGGCGGGGCGUGUCUCCCGAGAGCAGGGUGUGGCCAGUGGUGCAGAUGGUCACUCACUGAUGGCCCUCCUGUCCCGACCCGGGAGAGAUCCCCCUACCCCACACCGUGCCGGCGGGCCGGGUGGGCUGAGGGUGCGGAGACCCAGAGACCCCGAGACCGCAGCCCACCGGCGGAGCUCAGAGCAAGCUUGGGGAGGUGCUGCGGCUCCGGGCUGUCAGCGCCCGCCACCCUCCCGGCUUCACUUCCUCCAGCAGCCCCUGCAGCCCCGGAGGCCCGGGAUCCCAGCGGUCCGCGGCCCCGGACGCCGAGCCCUAGCCUCGGCCGCCCUGCCAGGCCUCAGCUGGACCUCCUAUCCCUACCCAGGCUGGGAAGAAGAAGGGGCUUCUGACAGCUCUGUCACCAAGGUUUGAGCCGGACAGAGCAGCCUCCUCGCCCUAGGAUGGCCUCGCCCUCCAGCCCUCCGGCAUUCAGGCUCCAGACAUGGGAUGGAGACCAAGAAGAUGGCAGUGAGGCGGACAGAGGAAAGCCUGGCCACGGGGAUGGGCCACCCCCCAUGGAGUCACCUUUCCAGGGGGAGGACCGGAAGUCCUCCCCUCAGAUCAAAGUGAACCUCAAAUACCGCAAACCAGCAGGUGUCAGCCAGCCGGACCCAAACCGCUUUGACCGUGAUCAGCUCUUCAGCGCAGUUGCCCGGGGUGUCCCCAAGGAUCUGGCUGGGUUACCAGAGUACCUGUCCCGAACCAGCAAGUACCUCACCGACCAAGAGUACACAGAGGGCUCCACGGGCAAGACGUGCCUGAUGAAGGCCGUGUUGAACCUUCGGGAUGGAGCCAACGCCUGCAUCCUGCCAUUGCUCCAGAUCGACCGGGACUCUGGCAAUCCCCAGCCCCUGGUCAAUGCCCAAUGCACGGAUGAGUACUACCGAGGCCACAGCGCCCUGCACAUUGCCAUCGAGAAGAGGAGCCUGCAGUGUGUGCAGCUCUUGGUGGAGAAUGGGGCCAAUGUGCAUGCCCGGGCCUGCGGCCACUUCUUCCAGAAAAAGAGCCAGGGGACUUGCUUCUACUUUGGCGAGCUGCCACUCUCCCUGGCCGCGUGCACCAACCAGUGGGAGGUGGUGACCUAUCUGCUAAAAAACGAGCAUCAGCCCGCCAGCCUGCAGGCCACCGACUCCCUCGGCAACACGGUGCUGCAUGCCUUGGUCAUGAUCGCAGACAACUCAACCGAGAACAGCGCCCUGGUGAUCAACAUGUAUGACAGGCUUCUCCGCGAGGGGGCCCAUCUCUGCCCCACAGUGCAGCUCGAGGACAUCCCCAACCUGCAGGGACUCACACCCCUGAAGCUGGCUGCCAAGGAGGGCAAAAUCGAGAUUUUCAGGCACAUCUUGCAGCGGGAGUUCCCAGAGCCGUGCCAGUCACUUUCCCGUAAGUUUACGGAGUGGUGCUACGGGCCAGUCCGGGUGUCAUUGUAUGACCUGGCCUCUGUGGACAGCUGGGAGGAGAACUCAGUGCUGGAGAUCAUCGCCUUUCAUUGCAGAAGCCCGGACCGGCACCGAAUGGUGAUUUUAGAGCCACUGAACAAGCUGUUGCAGGCGAAGUGGGAUCUGCUAAUCCCCAAAUUCUUCUUCAACUUCCUGUGUUACUUGAUCUACAUGGUCCUCUUCACCUUGGUUGCCUACCACCAGCCGGCCCUGGAGAAGGCCUUCUUCCCCCAGGAAGUGACUGCUGGAGACUCCCUGCUGCUGUUUGGCCACAUCCUGAUUCUGCUUGGGGGCGUCUAUAUCCUCGUGGGCCAGCUGUGGUAUUUCUGGAGGCGCCGUCUCUUCAUCUGGAUCUCCUUCGUGGACAGCUACUUUGAGCUGCUGUUCCUGGUCCAGGCCCUGCUCACGGUGCUGUCCCAGGUGCUGUGCUUCCUGGCCAUAGAGUGGUACCUGCCUCUGCUUGUGUCCUCGCUGGUGCUGGGCUGGCUCAACCUGCUUUACUAUACACGUGGCUUGCAACACACGGGCAUCUACAGUGUCAUGAUCCAGAAGGUCAUCCUGCGGGACCUGCUCCGCUUCCUGCUCGUCUAUUUAGUCUUCCUUUUCGGCUUUGCUGUAGCCCUGGUGAGCCUGAGCCGGGAAGCCCAGGACCCCAGGGGCUCCAGGGGCCCCAAUGCCACGGAGGCAGCAGCACAGCCUGGGGCAGGAGGGACGGAGGAGGAGGGCAUCUCCACCCCAUACGGCGGCAUCCUGGACGCUUCCUUGGAGCUGUUCAAGUUCACGAUCGGCAUGGGUGAGCUGGCCUUCCAGGACCAGCUGCGCUUCCGCGGGGUCGUGCUCCUGCUGCUGCUGGCCUAUGUGCUGCUCACCUACAUCCUGCUGCUCAACAUGCUCAUCGCCCUCAUGAGCGAGACCGUCAACAGUGUCGCCUCUGACAGCUGGAGCAUCUGGAAGCUGCAGAAAGCCAUCUCUGUCCUGGAGAUGGAGAAUGGCUACUGGUGGUGCAGGAGAAAGAAGCAGCAGGCCGGUGUGAAGCUGACCAUUGGCACCAGGCCGGAUGGCAGCCCCGAUGAGCGCUGGUGCUUCAGGGUGGAGGAGGUGAACUGGGCCUCGUGGGAGCAGACACUGCCGUCCCUUUGUGAGGAGCCCUCAGGGCCAGACGUCCCUGGCACCUUGAAGUAUCCAGCCCCAGCCUCCCAAGUAGAGGAGGACACUGCCUCGGAGGAAGAUCAGCUGCCACUCCAGCUCUUAAAGUCCCAGUAAUGGCCCAGAUUCGGGACAGAGUCAGGGGACCUUCCCAGCCCUACCUGGUGGCUCUGGGCCUCCAGGGAACUUCGGUAGCAAAUAACAGCCUCUGCGGUGCCGACAGCUUCAUUUACCACACGAGCCAUCGGAAGCUCACACAGGCUGAGAAACGUCCUCCAAACCGCGGAGCUAAAGAGAUACGCUCCAGCCCCCGCGCAUGCCCCCUGAACACCCCGGGCGCCGCAGGACCCAGAAUUCCCGGGGACGUGGAAGAGACCAUAGGCUCUAACGGAGGGGGGUGUCCCCGGGUGGUGAGGCGGAGUCUGCAUCGUGAAAUGGGCUGGAGGUUCCCGUGAGUCUCUGCCAGUAUUACCCUCCCUUCUGUGAAGAAUGGAAUAUUCCGACUCCUUAAAGGCCCAGGCCGCAAAAGAGACGAUCUUUUCCGUACGGUGAAAAUGGAGCAGGGCCUCUGCCGCCGUCGACUCCGGAGCCCGAGGUCCCCGAAGGCCGGUUCCCUGCUCCCCGGACGGGGCGUGGGAGGUGCGCCAACCCGGGAGGACUGGGUGGCACAUCCCUUGCAGCGCCUUCAGGCCGGGAGCGGUCUCCCACCCGGAGGUUGCACAUGAGUGCUGCGGGGUCACCGGUGUGUGAUCAGAUCGAGACCAGCUGCUGAGUGUUUGAGGGAGGAGCAGUGGCCUGCCGUUAAGGGAUGCCUCGGUUCAUUCCCCUCUGGGUUUUGUGUGCUGAAGAACGGUGAUCGCGGUGUGGAGUUUGAAAGCUGGUGGCGGCUGCAGCUCAGCCCAAGGAGAGGCCGUCUUUGCAGAGAAUGGUCAGCCAUGCUGCAGCAGUUCAGGGUCCUGUGGUCACCAUCAGUUCGGACUGAAAACCUAGGCUUCAACAGUUGGUGUGGAAACCGUGCUUACCUUGUGCUGAGAUGCGGAGUCUGUUCUCUUAAAAGUGAACCAACUCUUUUUGGCUCUUAAUCUUAAAAGCAGAGCCAACAAGUGUGUUUGGCAAACUGUAGGGUAAGCACUGUUGGUGUCAUUGAAUUCUUGAGUUUUCUAGUAAUGUACUAUAAAUACUGUAUUUUUAUCUUUCCUACCCAGAGAGCUUCUAUAGUUUUAAAUAUUGUAUGAAUUUGUUCUGUUGGGUAAGGGUCUGAGUUCUUUAAGAUGCAAACAUAGUUCUUCCUGAAACUGAUACUUAUGUGCAAUUACCACAAACUGCAAUAAAGGAUGGUCUUUAGUA